rnacentral:rRNA from 1 species
UACGGAGGGUGCGAGCGUUGUUCGGAAUCACUGGGCGUAAAGGGCGUGUAGGCGGUCCGCUAAGUCUGAUGUGAAAGCCCGGGGCUCAACCCCGGGUCUGCAGUCGAUACGGGCAGGCUAGAGUGCGGUAGGGGAGACUGGAAUUCCUGGUGUAGCGGUGAAAUGCGCAGAUAUCAGGAGGAACACCGGUGGCGAAGGCGGGUCUCUGGGCCGUAACUGACGCUGAGGAGCGAAAGCGUGGGGAGCGAACAGG